AACGCCGUAGCGCCGAUGGUAGUGUGGGGUCUCCCCAUGCGAGAGUAGGGAACUGCCAGGC
rnacentral:rRNA from 1 species